GGACCUGACUGCUAUCGGAUUGAUACUAAGCCAUGCGAGUCAUUGUAGCAAUACAAGGCAGACGGCUCAGUAACGCGUAGUCAACCUAACCUAUGGACGGGAAUAACCUCGGGAAACUGAGAAUAAUGCCCGAUAGAACACUAUACCUGGAAUGGUUUGUGUUCCAAAUGAUUUAUCGCCGUAGGAUGGGACUGCGGCCUAUCAGUUUGUUGGUGAGGUAAUGGCCCACCAAGACUAUUACAGGUACGGGCUCUGAGAGGAGUAGCCCGGAGAUGGGUACUGAGACACGGACCCAAGCCCUAUGGGGCGCAGCAGGCGAGAAAACUUUGCAAUGUGCGAAAGCACGACAAGGUUAAUCCGAGUGGUUUCUGCUAAAGGAACCUUUUGUCGGUCCUAGAAACACCGAUGAAUAAGGGGUGGGCAAGUUCUGGUGU
rnacentral:rRNA from 1 species